CAAUCUCUAUAGAGCGUCGCAAUGACUCUCGGCAACGGAUAUCUCGGCUCUCGCAUCGAUGAAGAACGUAGCGAAAUGCGAUACUUGGUGUGAAUUGCAGAAUCCCGUGAACCAUCGAGUCUUUGAACGCAAGUUGCGCCCGAAGCCGUUUGGCCGA
rnacentral:rRNA from 1 species